GGAGGGAACAACACAGAGGGAUCCCAUGUCACCAUUAGAUUAAGGAAUAAAUUGCAUGGAAAUACAGAUUUACAAAACAAAACCAUCGACAGAAAAAAAGGAAGGGAAAAAAAAACGAACGGAAGAAAUAAGAGAGGCAGCUUAAGGAAUAACAUUUCUAGUCGUGCCCGGCAAGCUGCUUGUUCGGCAUAAAUAAUUUCAAACAGACAUCAGUCUGCAACUAAAGACCUGGUUACGGUCUUCUUAACCCUGGACAACGGGAACAGGUGAAGAUACGGAAGAAAGGAUGCUUAAACUGAGAAGAAAGGGAUAGACUGUUAAUGGAGUGAGUGCAUGAAGAUCAAACAAAUAGAGAAAGAGAGGUGUUUCCCCGCUGCACGUUUCGUUUGGUUGAAUAGACUGUUUCGUGUAGGGAAUAAAAGUAAAUGGUUAACACGAGCUUUGUUAAAUAAUACAAAUUCCCUGGUAAGAAAUGCUAAUUUACAAGGCAAAUAUUUUUUGAUAUUAGACCUGCAACGUCUGUACAUAGCGAGAAUAAUUUAUUUGAGGAACGGGGAUAGCAAAGGUGCAACUUAGGAGAUGAAUUAUAUUUUUAGCCUUUUGUAUCACUAAAAGGAACUGACCUACGCACUAUAGCACAGUUGCGUUAUUUUCAACUAGCAGGUGUUGUAGCAAGAAUAUUCUGCAUUAUUCAUAACUGUAGCCAUUUUACAGAGGACAAAAUCCUAGGUUUCUGCACAGUCAUUUGGACCAACGCCAAGAGGAUCCCUCCGUUCAGUCAGAAAACGUAGUAAAUUCCACGUAGCGUUUUUGUGCAGUUUGUGUGUUCAUGUGUGUGUGUUCAGUGACACGCACACUGCACUCACGCGAACAGAGCCAGACCCAAAGCGAGCUCCUCCUCCCCCCCUCCCCUCUCGGUUCUCUCUCCUCCUCUCCCUCCCCCUGCUCCUCUAUGCUCAGUUCGGUGUGUGUCUCCUCUUUCAAAGGGCGCAAGGGUGGGAACAAGUCGUCCAACAAAGCAUGUUACAGCGCAGACAUGACUUGUCCGUCAGACAGCGAGAAAAUAGUGAUAAACUGCGGGGGGAUUCGGCACGAGACGUACCGCAGCACGCUGAAGACGCUGCCUGGGACGCGCUUGUCCUGGCUCACGGAGCCAGAUGCGUUCAGUAACUUUGACUAUGACCCCAAAUCCGAUGAAUUCUUCUUUGACCGUCACCCCAACACCUUCGCUUUUAUCCUCAAUUAUUACCGCACAGGGAAGUUGCAUUGUCCCAACGAUGUCUGCGGUCCUCUCUUCGAGGAGGAGCUCGCGUUCUGGGGUAUCGACGAGACAGACGUGGAGGCUUGCUGCUGGAUGAAUUACCGACAGCAUAGGGACGCCGAGGAAGCGCUGGACAGCUUCGAGACGCCCGAGCCGGACCCGCCAGAGGACGACCCGGCGCUAACGGGUGGAGCGGACGGGGAUUUGAAGAGGUUGUGUCUACAGGAGGAUGGUCGGAACCCCAGCUGGUGGAGUACCUGGCAGCCGCGCAUCUGGGCGCUCUUUGAGGACCCCUACUCCUCCAAAUAUGCUAGGUAUGUGGCGUUCGGCUCGCUCCUGUUCAUCCUCAUCUCCAUCUCAACAUUUUGCUUGGAGACACACGAGGCCUUCAACACCAUCUACAAUAAGACAGAGAACGUGACGGUGGGGAACGUCACGCGGGAGGAGGUUGUGUUUGAGGUAGUGACUGACAGCUGGCUGACCUACGUGGAGGGCGUAUGCGUCAUCUGGUUCACCAUCGAGGUGUUCGCCCGUGUCAUCUUCUGCCCGGACAAGGCCGAGUUCUUUAAGAGCUCGCUGAACAUCAUCGACUUUGUAGCCAUCCUGCCCUUUUACCUGGAGGUGGCGCUGAGCGGCCUCUCCUCUAAAGCGGCGAAAGACGUGCUGGGCUUUUUGCGAGUGGUGCGAUUCGUCCGAAUCCUGCGAAUCUUCAAGCUCACGCGUCACUUCGUGGGGCUGAGGGUGCUGGGUCACACGCUCCGUGCCAGCACCAACGAAUUCUUACUUCUCAUCAUCUUCCUCGCUCUGGGGGUGCUCAUCUUCGCCACCAUGAUCUACUACGCCGAGCGCAUCGGCGCCGACCCGGACGACCCCACGGCAAGCGCCCACACCGCUUUCAAAAACAUCCCCAUCGGCUUCUGGUGGGCGGUGGUCACCAUGACCACACUGGGCUAUGGAGACAUGUAUCCAGAGACAUGGUCUGGUAUGUUGGUGGGUGCCCUAUGCGCUCUGGCGGGUGUGCUGACCAUCGCCAUGCCUGUGCCCGUCAUUGUAAACAACUUCGGCAUGUACUACUCUCUGGCCAUGGCCAAGCAGAAGCUGCCCAAGAAGAAGAACAAGCACAUCCCGAGGGCUCCGCAACCUGGAUCGCCCAACUACUGCAAGCCAGACGCCCUGGCUAUGGCCACUGCCUCGCCGCACAGGAUCAUGGGUAAUGUGCUGGGCAGUAUGGUGGUCUCUGGAAGCAUGGCAGGAGACUGUCCUCUUGCACAGGAGGAAAUCAUAGAGAUUAACAGAGCAGACUCCAAACAGAAUGGAGAUGCUGCAAAUGCAGCUCUGGCUAAUGAGGACUGUCCCACUAUAGAUCAGGUGCUGGGGCCAGAUGACAGGAGUCCGGCCACCGGUGGGCUGGGGACAUGCACGGGGCGUGAACGUUACCCCCAUGAUAGGGCCUGCUUCCUUCUCAGUACCGGAGAGUUCCGCACCACAGACAGCAAUGUCAGGAAAGGAGGGAACAUUGAAUGGAUGCUGGAUUGACAGCGAGAACUAUUCUGAAAGCCCAGUGCUUAUCAGAUAUAUGCAAAAAGAAGCAGUAACUGUGAACUAAGACUAGAACAGAAAAUCCACUUCUUCCUUCACAAAUACAUUCCCAAACGAACACCUGAGCCCCCAAACCAGUAUCAGCUCCCGCACAAGUACAUUUUAGUUUGUAUUCUCAUCUCAUGGCAUCAUCAAUCUUGUUUAAUCAUCUUAGUUUUGCAUUAUUAUAGAGCAGAUUAGUUGUUUUCCUCCCCCUUGCUGUUGUCUUAACCUCAGCUCUAGCUCCCUCUGCUGGUUUUACGGGGGAUGACGUAGCAUUCGCUGUUGUAGAUCAUUAGCACUCUUUUGUCACUUUAGAGGCUAAGAAUACCUCAUUUUAGCCCUUAUCGUUUACCUGUUAUAUUUAAGAUUAAAGAAAAGACUCUUUAGGCAUUUAUUUGAACAGACUCAGACCAGAAGGAGUGAUUUCCUGUUCACUAAACACUGAUCAGAGCAGAGAGAAAGAAGCUAAUGCUAACAAGUCUGCUCACUGCAACAAUGCAUGUUUCCACACAUUCGAGAUAGCUAGCACUUAGCAUCCCUAGUGCAUUUUGUGGUUUUGCUGUGUGUAGUCUAUCUGUUAAGGCGUAGUCAGGGUGAACAGAGUGGAUGGGAUGGCUCCACUUUUAUCCCUUUAUCUCAUUUCUGAGGUUACGAUGUGGACGAGACAGGCCUGCCACUAGUUAGCUGAGUUAGCGAAUGCCCUGGUAAAAGCAGAGGCUGCAUGUGAUCACGGAGGACAGUGUAAAUAAUUCUCUGCAUGUGGAGUUAACAGCACAGAAACUAUUGUUCGAUCCAAACUUGGCAUUCAGAAUAGGGAGAGCAGGUUGAGUUCAAAUGAUUUAGCGACAUUAUCCAGAAUCCUCUCUGUUUCUGACUUACGCUCCCCUGUCACUACUCAGGUAAAUCUCUUUUUGUUCGUCUUUACCAGUGCUUCCAAAAUGAUGUCAUUCGAAUCAAAGAGAGAGGCAGAUGAGAACUCCCCGCAUACGCAUGCAUUUGUGUAAAUAAUAAAUAAUCAUGUUUGAUCCUAAUGUUCAUUCCAAGUCUUCCUUUUCCACAGUGUCCUCACCCUUCAUUUCAUCAUUUCAUCCGUCACUGUCAUUCAUUCCCAACUCUUACUGCUUCCAAAUAACAACCAAAAAGCCCGGAUGACAUUAUGAAAAACUGAGGAAAAAUAAUGCGAUAUGUUUAAAAAAAAAAAGAGAGGGAACUUUUUGAUGACGGUCUACCAUAAGUGGAUUACAAAAAAAAAAUCCUGUAUAUGGAAUCAGGACGCAACCAAAUUCAGGAGAUGAAAGCAUGAGGGUCAGAUGGACAGAUUGUGUGUUUGGGGAACAGAGUUUUGGGAGGAUUGUCAACAAAUGAAGAAAGGCGUCGUGAAAUGGAGGACAGUUUGGGGAAGAAAGAAAAAAAGCAAAGAGAGGAGGAAGGGAGCUGAACGCUUCUCAGUGUAAGAAUUGCUGAGCUUCUGAACUGCCCCUUUUCUAAAGCUCCCCAACCGCAAAACCUGUCCAGAGGCAACCCCCAGGGUCACCGCAGGAUUAGAGACGGCGAAAGAGAGAAAACGAGAGAUGAAAGGAGUGCUUUGCUAAACCGACUUGAAGACAACAUUGUAACGCUCAUCUCUCCAUCACUAAUUUUAAUCCCCAACGUAGGUGCAAUAAACUGACAAUAUCACAUCCUGGGAGGAUGUGGAACGCAUUCUUCUUACAGGGAUCGCUGGCCUUGGAAAACGGGUGGGAUUCAGCAUACAAACUGUAGUAUGUCCUGACUCAACCUGGUGGAAAUGGAUGCAAUUUUAAAGUGACGGGAACUAUUUUUGUGGGGCGUUCCACCAUGAUAAUGCACCUGAAAGUGGACAAAAAACCCUCGAUCCAGUCUCAGAUACAUGUAAUGUGUGGAAAAACACCCAUCAUGCCCUUCAACGCUAUGCAAUUCAAACACACGUUGACAGUCAAUUUCAUCAAGCGCUUCAAACAAACAGUUUAUCAGCCAAACCUUUUCCGCUCCUUUACCUUUUGGAGAUCUUGCACGUGCUUUAAGUGAAAAUAGACAGCGGCGCCAUCGGCCUGCCAUAUUCCUAUAUCGUAAUGUUUCCCCAUUCAUCCAAUUGGAAAUCUUGUUCAGAGUGUCCUUCUCAGGGCUCACAGAAAGAUGACUUUGUCCACUAUGAAGAAAAGAGCGUUAGCCUCUCUCUUUUCUCUCUCUCUUAGUUCAGCUCUCUGCAUCUCAGCAUUUCUGUUCCACUGUAGAUGAACUGCAUGGCAUGAAUGAAAAAAAAAAAGAAAAACAAAAACAAAACAGAGAGAAAGAUGGUAGAGAUCAUGCUGAGAGGAACAAGAGGAAACCGUAGACGGGACCGCUCUGUUUGCACAGUACAAUAUGGGUGACUCUGGAUCAGUGGAUGGGGUCACUUUCUUCACCUUCAAGUGGGGAACAGAAAAUACAACAUAAGUGCAUGAUACCUGUUGAAGGACAGAGGGGUUUUUAAGUGGACUGGGUGAACUUUGAACAAAAGCUGAAAAAAAAAGAGAAAAUUAAAAAAUGCAUUUUUCUCACUUUGUUUACCAGCAUGACUAAACUGCAUGACUUCUGCAAGCCCUGAACCCCAAAUUAGAGGGCUUGAAAUCACUAAACGCCGAAAUCAAACGGAAACAAUAAAAGUUUAUGCUAAAUGCUACUAAAUUUAGAAAAAAAAGAAUAUAUUUAAAAAAAGAGAGGCUCUAUAUUUUGUUUUUGAAUAAAAAAAAAAAGAAUAAUGUAAAAAUAUAUAGGAUUGCAAGAUUCACACAGUUUUGUUGGGUAAAAGAUUAACAGACCCCACUGAGUCUAGCUGAAUGAUGAGACGAACUCCUUCAACUACUACUGCUCCCUCUCAAUGGCUUCAAGUGACAUUUCUUCCCUUCUCUUUGUCCUCCGUUUCACCCUUUACUUGAACUUUCCUGGCUCUCUGCUCUGCCCUUCACAGUCUCCCUCAGUCAUGGCAGCCUCCAGCAGCGGCACCACAGCUCCUCUGGAGACCUCCGACACCUACAGGGCUCUUUUCAUUCGACGGUUAUGGGUCUGAAGAGCAAGGUGAAAGAGGAUUUUUAAGGCUGUGGGUGAAGUUUUCUUUUUAAGUUGCGUCCCGAUGGAAAGUUUUUGGCUUGAUUUGCGAUGCUUGUUCUUUUUAGUUCAUCCACUUUCCGUGGGUAAAUCGAAGCUUUAUCCAUCGAAAUUGAGCCUGCAUCCACUUCGGUACCAAUCCAAUCAAUAUUAUUAGCGUUGUGUGUGAACUGCUGUGUCACGAGGCCCUGAGCACUUACAUCGCAAAGCACUAUUAUUCUAUCAGGAAGCCAUAAUGUGAGAGUAGCGCCAACAUAUGAGCUCAGAGGUGCUCAGGAGACCGUGCUGAUUCAGAAACCUGAACAUGUCGUGUUGAGUUUGUUGAAAAUGUUGCCAUUUUAUGCUGUAGUUUCUCUUUUUCUGGUGGUACAGAGCAUUGCACGGUUUUGACAAGAUUUUGUUACAGCCAUUUGAUAUUUGUUUUAUUUUGAAAGUUUCAAGAUUCGCAUAUGCUGAGCACCCACUAAAACCAGCCAUGCCAUACCAAAAUGGACUUCCUUACUAACUUAGCAGCAGAUCUCUGAUAUUAGCAUCAGUAUUAGCAUUUUCCUGUGUGAGAGGAGGCCUCUUUUCAAUCAUAGAUCACACGUGUGUCGUCUUCAACAGGAUACGAAGCAUUGGUUUACUUUACAAAAGUUGGUUAGUCUGGUUAGGUGUUGUUUACGUUGAUUUAAAGCAUCAUCAAAAACGCCAUGACUGUGUUCUGUCAGCUCAUCGUUCAGAAUCAAGACGUAAGCUUAGUUUAGUAACUACCUAUGCAACACCUAAGCAAGACCUUAGCAGCUCACACACACACACACACACACACACACAUGCCAUGUGCUCAGGCCAGCCGGCUGUGUCUGUUUACCGGUGCUGUGUGUCCAGGGAGGGAAAACGACACAGAUGCAGCUCCAUCACCACAAGAGCCAGCAUUAUCUGCUGACCACGUAGUUUUACUUCACACGUUAGCAGCUGGCCCGAGUAGCUUGAAGGUGCGACAGACGUGUGCAGCUGCAGUAGCCAUGUCGCUUUCCUUAGCGGUGCACUGAACUCCCUCUCUCUUCUCGAUUAACACGUCAGGCCAGUUUUAUGUUAUUUGCAAUGUCUUUUCUGCGCGCUCCGCCGUGCAGGAAGACACUCAUGCACUUUUUCGAGUUAACAUAUACUGUACGUUUAUAUGUAAGCGUACACUCAUCUCAGAGGGUUUGUAAGACAUCUGAUUUGUUUAAUGUGUGGUACUCAGUUCCAGAUUGCAUUUGCUGACUGGUUAAGAUGACGUGUACCUCUCUGGUCGUUCAUAAAUCCGAUUGGAUGGUGUUUUGGAGCAAUAAUGAUGGAGGGCCACUUUGUUUUGUCAUUGUCGUCAUUAGGAAUUGGGGGACAUGUUCAUCUCAUCCCUAAUAAGAAAUCCAGUGUGCCUGAAACUGUUCCCUGAAUGUGUACGCAAACCGGCCACAUCAAUUUGAAGACGCUCUCUCUGCGAAUGCUUCCCGUGAGAGUCUGUCUUGGCGCGAAUGAGACCGCAACCCCUCCAGAUGGCUGACAGCUCAACAUACCUUUACUUGAAACCCAAAUACAAAACAUAUCAGAGAGGAGCAGAACAAAGCCAGAAUCAGUCUUCACGCUUUCUCAACUUCCUGUUUGCAUCCCCCUUAUUCCCCCUCUCAUCUGUUCCCUCUCCUUCUCUAUUUUUGAGGAAGAAGCUUUUUUGCAUCCCUUGUUCUUGUGUUUUUCUAUCAUAUUGUUUGAAGUUGACUUAUAUUGCAUGCGUGGAAUACAAUGAGGACAUAACUUGUGAAUAAUUUGUGAAUGGCCAGAAUGAGGUAACCAUCUCUUUCACCUGGGCUCUCUACUCUGCGACUUCUCUUUCCGAGAUGAUUAGAGAGGAAGAACGAGCGUAUGUUGUUUCUGGUUUCCCUCACAUCAAAAUGUAGCCAUGCCAAAUAUAAGUUAUGGCUAUACACUAGCCAUUUCGAAAGACUCUGUGUUUCAUUUACCUAUAUUUGUAUAUUGUUUUUAAGAUGAUAUUUAUCUGUAUAUAUUUAUCUGUAGUAAAUAUUCAUCAGAGCUUCCACAGACUCAGAGCUGAACAGAUGCAGCAGAUGUCGACAAAAAACAAAGAAAAAAAAAAAAACGGCCUGCAGGAACUCGGUUUUCGCUGCAUGUGUCUGUGCAUUUAUUCUAGUAUAGUUUGACCCAAUAUGCACUACCUGUCCUUUUCUACUUUAGUUACUUAAUGUAGCUUGUUGGAAGGGGGAAUUCAUUGCACUAUCACAGCUAAUGGAGCUGCUGUGUCUGCUGCUGAGCGCAAGUCUAACCAUUCACCCCCCUGAAUUAAGAAACAGGGACAGAGAGAAAGAGAGAGAGAGAGUUAGAAAGAGAGGCCAGUGAGAAAGAGAAGGUUCCUAAAAGAAAUGGAUGAGUUCUAUGCUACUAAGAUUGAUGCUGGAUACAAUUUUAUUGUCAUACAAAAAAAAGGGAAAAAAAUAUCAAGAACUGUAUAAAAUAUAUUUCAAUGGAAUGUUUAUUAUUUACCUUUUAUAUUUUUGAAAUGUAUAAAGAAAAAGAUUAUUAAACUGUAAUAAUUUAACAGAGUUUGUGAACACUGAGACUUAAAAAUGUUAUAUUACUAAAAGUAUGGAAGUUUGACCGUGAAUGCUAACCUACCUGAUCAAAUCUUCUCCAUUACAGAUAGGAAAAAAAUAAGAAAAAUAAUUAGAAAAAUGAAAUCCAAUUUAAAAAGAAAAAGUUAUCAAAAAGUCAAUAAAAAUGUUAAAAGCUCAUGCCAAAAUUUUCAA